AUCACUUUUCUGAAAAAAAAUAUUGUUUUAGGAGGCACUCAUUGAAGGGAAAUUACUGGCCCUGGAGGCAAAGAUGUGAUAAGAUAAUUAUUUCUAUUCUUUCAUUAUGGCCAAAUGGUAAAUAAGUCACAAAUGAAAUAACUUUGGCACUAUUAAUUCUCAAAAGCAGAUUUAGGCAGAAACUUCAAUAAAGCCUGAAAUCAGCACUUAAUUUUUCAUUUUCUCUUUUCUGGGAGCCUUCAAUGGAACAGUUUCAAUUCUCAAUUUAAGAUAGGUUGCCAAAAACUGAUUGAAAAAACAUGGUGCAUGAGAAGAUGUUUAGGUAAGUUAAAAAAAAAAAAAAAACCUGGAUACAACCAUUGCUUGAAAGUAAAAUGACUUUUGCACCAUACUUUAUCCUUUUAAUAGAAAAAGAUUUCUUUCUUUAGACUUUGGAACAAAUUGAUACCUAAAAAUAUAUAUAUUCUGCUGUUGAUUAGAUAUUUUGAGAAGUGUAGGUCAAAGCUUGGAAGUUUAAGAACUACAUUUCACAUGGAAAUAGUUUGCAUAGUUUCCACAUUCUCUUUUCUUUUCCCAUUUCCCUUAAUAAUAUUGGAUUUUAAAGUUAUGCUGCUUUUUGUCUUCAUAUUCUCAGACAUGGAUGAUUUUACCUUUAAAUUGAGAAAUCCAAAGAAAUAAGGUUGGAAGAGGCUACUUGACCAGAACUGAAACCAGAUGAAGAGGAAAUGGAUCUCCAAUUUGAAGUGUGAUAGUUGCUUAAAAGCAAUAAGAACAGCAGGGAAGAGCCGAUUCUGCAGAAAAUAUGCCUUGCUACAGAAAACUGACAUGAACUUAGUACACAAAGGUAAAGAAAAUAGAGGUAAAGGUAGCUCUGGUCACUGAGAACAAAAUCGUAAUCCCAGCAAGCAUACUGGAAGCCAAGACUAAACUGACCUGACA
rnacentral:lncRNA from 12 species